rnacentral:tRNA from 1 species
UAGCUCAGUUGGUAGAGCACGGUGUUUGCAACGCAGGGUGUUUGCAACGCCAGGGUUGUGGGUUCGAUUCCCAC